AAUAUUCACCAUCCUGUACCUAUCACCCGAUAACAUUUCUCAUCCCUCUGAGGUCGUAGGCCUACUUACUUAAUUUCAUCCUGAUAAAGUUAUAUCUUUUGAUUUUUGAAUCAUGUGUGAUGAAGAAAUCGCUAAAGACGAAGGGAGUAGAGAUGAGAAUGCUAAUAAGACAAAACAAAAUGAAAAACCAAAAACAACAAGGAAGAAAAAGAGAAAUCGACCUGUAUUGAAUGCUGAGAGAGCUACGUCAACUGGAUAAGAUCGGGGCUUGAAGAUGUUGGUGGAGAGUCUGAUUCGGCCAGCGACGUUGAAGUAAUAGAAGAACUCUCCCCUCCUAACCCACCACCAAACUGAUGAUAAUACUUUUAGUGCCAUAAUUUCUGCAAAACCAAUGCAACCCGAAACCUCUGUUGCAUCAACAUCAAGACAGGACUAAACAUUUAAGUUGAAUCCUGACGAAGGUAAUUCGCCUGUGAAGAUGUGACUCAUACCCCCGAGAUUGGCCAUACCAUCUGGCGGCUGAUCCAACCAAAGCCGAACUAAGGAGUCUACUGUAUAUGAUUUACUUUAGUUAGUUUUUGGUUAAGCAAAACUGUAUAACUGGGCAAUAUAUAAAUUUGUUUAAAAUA